GGGGGGGGGGGGGGGGGGGGGGGGGGCGGGGGGGGCGGGGGGGGGGGCCCGGCGGGUGGGGGGUGCGCGCGGGGCGGACGGGGGAGUAACCCGGGAGUGACCUGCCCUUGACUUUGGGGGCACUUCAGGAACCUGGGGCUCAUACCGGGUAGGCGCUCCUGCUGCAUGGUGUGGGUUGGAAAGUUUCGGCGGUUGGGGAUGGACUCGCGGCUUAUCCGCUUGUUGGUUGGGUAGUUGCUUACCAAGGCUUUGGCGGGUAGCCGGCCUUCGAGGGUGACCGGCCACCAUGGGACUGAGAUACGGCCCAGAAUCCUACGGGAGGCAGGAGUGGGGAAUAUUGCAGAAUGGGCGGAAGCCUGAUGCAGCAACGCCGCGUGCGGGAUGACGGCCUUCGGGUUGUAAACCGCUUUCGCCUGUGACGAAGCGUGAGUGACGGUAAUGGGUAAAGAAGCACCGGCUAACUACGUG
rnacentral:rRNA from 1 species